UUGGAACCAUGCACUUGUACUGCACAUGCUCAGAAACUACAGAGCACCAAAUCGGGUUGAAUCCACUAGUACAGUACCUGUAGAGCAUCAAAUCGGCUGCAAAGCGAGAUGCAUCAAAUCAGCUGCAGACCUGAAAUGAAAAUCAACAGAAUCACCAAAUCAAAAGCGGCAGCAGCAGCAGCAGCCAGAUCCAGCCGAAUCUGCGAAGAAGCAGCAGCAGCCGUGCGCGGCGACUUCAACUCGUAGCUGGAUCCCGCCCGCAGCAGCAGUAGCUUGGCCUGGGCGCGCGGCGACGCGGCGGCUAUUUCAACUCGCAGACAGAUCCCGCCCGCGUCAGCAGCUCAUCGCCUUCGGCGGGGUCGAGGCACUGCUUGUCGCCCGGCAUGGAGGCCUGGGUGCGCGACGGUGCGGCGCUGCUCGUCAGUGUUCAGAUUGGGCACGCCACUGCUCUCCCAGCCGGAUCCCACCGAGGCUGCGCUCGCGUGCGUGCUCGGUGGCGCACUCCGGUGGCCGGUUAACGGCGGUCGCCGGACGCGAGGAAGUAAUGGACAUGCGCGUCCGCGCCUCCGGUGUGUGUGUGGCUGGCAGGUGGGUUGGAGUGAUG
rnacentral:rRNA from 1 species